rnacentral:rRNA from 1 species
CCUACGUGAGGCAGCAGUGAGGAAUAUUGGUCAAUGGACGAGAGUCUGAACCAGCCAAGUAGCGUGAAGGAUGACUGCCCUAUGGGUUGUAAACUUCUUUUAUAUGGGAAUAAAAUGUUCCACGUGUGUGAUUUUGUAUGUACCCUAUGAAUAAGGAUCGGCUAACUCCGUGCCAGCAGCCGCGGUAAUACGGAGGAUCCGAGCGUUAUCCGGGUUUAUUGGGUUUAAAGGGAGCGUAGGUGGAUUGUUAAGUCAGUUGUGAAAGUUUGCGGCUCAACCGUAAAAUUGCAGUUGAAACUGGCAGGCUGGAGUACAGUAGAGGUGGGCGGAAUUCGUGGUGUAGCGGUGAAAUGCUUAGAUAUCACGAAGAAAUCCGAUUGCGAAGGCAGUUCACUGGACUGCAACUGACACUGAGGCUCGAAAGUGUGGGUAUCAAACAGGAUUAGAUACCCCUGUAGUC